ACCCUCGUAUUAUUGUGUUCUGGGUUGUGACCGAGCUUAUCCUCGUUCAUUUUUUUUCACAACCUCUCCGUAAAAAAUAAAACACGCCCCGCUCGGGAUAACCCUUCAGGACGAAAAUAGCGGAUAAUGGCACGCCCUGAUAUGCAGCAAAUCUGCCGUAGAUGUGCCAUUUAAGGGCAU
rnacentral:sRNA from 18 species